rnacentral:rRNA from 1 species
UACGUAGGGUGCAAGCGUUGUCCGGAAUUAUUGGGCGUAAAGAGCUCGUAGGCGGUCUGUUGCGUCCGCUGUGAAAACCCGGGGCUUAACCCCUGGCUUGCAGUGGAUACGGACAGACUAGAGGUAGGUAGGGGAGAAUGGAAUUCCCGGUGUAGCGGUGAAAUGCGCAGAUAUCGGGAGGAACACCGGUGGCGAAGGCGGUUCUCUGGGCCUUACCUGACGCUGAGGAGCGAAAGCGUGGGGAGCGAACAGGAUUGAGA